GACAAACACCAAAACCAUUCAUUCAUAAUAAUAGUAUAAACAACUAAUAGUAUCAAUUUAAAAUUAUCACGUGACCGACCGAUGAUAUCACAUGAACUAUAACAACAACUAAUCUGGAAUUCAGUACCAGUCAAAGCAGAAUCACAUGAUCCCACUUGCAUCCCCCAGCACAUCAGAUCUUGGAAUUAAUAAAUACAAAUCUCACCAAAACACGCCACUAAGGCUCACUCCCCUCCCCUCCCCUCGACACAAUUACAAUUUCAAUCAUGAAGGCCAACGCCCACUCUAGAACAUUGGCUGCUUUUGUUUUAGCACUCUUCUUUUUCUUAUUCUUCUUCAUUCUGCAUACCUGCUGCCCUGGUGGAGCCGAAGCAGCACGUCUCCUCAGGACAAAAGCCUAUUCUUCAUCUUCACAAGCUCUCAUCAUCCCGGCAGACAACAAGUACCCUUUCCCUUUCACUAGCUUUCGGAAGAUAUCACCAAGCACGUAUAAUCCCACGCAGAACAAGUAACUUCUUAACACUCGUGCAUUUUCAAGCCUUUCAACCAUACUCAGCUUUGAUUAGAUUCAUAUAAUGCUGCUCUUGUGCCAGGUCCAAGUCUCCGUGAGCAGAGUAGCAGAGCAGCAAAUAAUCCUUGGCAUACAUUCUUUUUUUCACUUUUGCUAAUAUAGUCUUAAGUUUAAAUUUAAAAACAAAUAAGACACUUGAGUAAUACUUACAAACAAACAUAGUUCGGGUGACUAAAGACUAGAGUAUACAUUUUUUAGUUUUUUACAAUUUACCCUUUUA
rnacentral:lncRNA from 1 species